AACGGCUAUACCAUGCUGAAUAUACCGGUUCUCGUUAGAUCACCGAAGUCAAGCAUCAUUGGGCGCGGUCAGUACUUGAGUGGAUGAACACCUGGGAACACCGCGUGCAGU
rnacentral:rRNA from 1 species